rnacentral:misc_RNA from 1 species
GAUGAAGAACGCAGCGAAAUGCGAUAAGUAAUGUGAAUUGCAGAAUUCAGUGAAUCAUUGAAUCUUUGAACGCACAUUGCGCCCGCCAGUAUUCUGGCGGGCAUGCCUGUUCGAGCGUCAUUACAACCCUCAGGCCCCCGGGCCUGGCGUUGGGGAUCGGCGGAGCCCCCCGUGGGCACACGCCGUCCCCCAAAUGCAGUGGCGGUCCCGCCGCAGCUUCCAUCGCGUAGUAGCUAACACCUCGCGACUGGAGAGCGGCGCGGCCACGCCGUAAAACACCCAACUCUUCUGAAGUUGACCUCGAAUCAGGUAGGAAUACCCGCUGAACUUAAGCAUAUCAAUAAGCGGAGGA